CGAGCAUAUCACGUUGAAACACCGGUUCUCAUACGAUCACUGAAGUUAAGCAAAGUCAAAGCUGGUCAAUACCUAGAUGGAUGACCGCUUGGGAAUACCAUGUAUUG